AUGGGCUUUAGUGCAAGUGGGAGUUGUUGGAAAAUAUAUCUUAAAGUUAAUCAUCUAAGUUGAAAAUGAUUGUGCUCCAUAUAAGUAUAUGAAUUAUAAAAUGAUAAAUAUUAUCAAGUAGAUUCAUCAUAAAGAAUAUAUUUUUUUAAAUAGAACUCAGAUGUUAUGAUGAAGUUCUUAAAACUACUAUCAAAAUGACAAAGGAAGAUUUAUCAUAUGGUUCUUAAAUCCUGCUCGCGACCAAAUGAUACAAUUGUUACAAUGAUGAUAAUUGUAUCGAGUGCAGAUCAUUGUAUGCCAUAUUAGUUAAUUAUCCUUUUAAUCAAGAUAUGUGGUGACACGGGUAUGGCAUAUGGAUGAUUUGUAAGAGUAUAUUUCAGUGAGCGUGACCACUUUCGGAGUACUCUGCUAUCAAGGAUUGCUCUGAUGGGAUAUGGGUAUAUGUGUUCCUCUGAUCUGAGGCUAUCUUAAAGAUUUGCAAGCAACUCACUAUGCUUUGAGACCGGACAAUCUAAAUUUUUAAUUUGAUAAUGGAAGGUUAUUGGGUACAGUCAAGUACUUGUGAAGUCUGAGUGCGAGUCAAGAUGGGAUUGACCACUCCAAGUAAAAUUGGAGAUGAUGCAUCACUGUGUUUCAAUUUAGCAAAAUUUUGGCUAAAGUAGUCCUAGUGAGGAGUCACAAGAUUUUUAAAGUUGAGAUACAAUAUGGAUCACUCAUUCUAGGUUGAC
rnacentral:lncRNA from 1 species